rnacentral:rRNA from 1 species
UACGAAGGGGCUAGCGUUGCUCGGAAUCACUGGCGUAAAGGGCGCGUAGGCGGCGUGACUAGUCACUUGUGAAAUCUCCGGCUUAACUCGGAACGGUCGAAGUGAUACUGUCGUGGCUAGAGUACAGAAGGGGCAACUGGAAUUCUCGGUGUAGCGGUGAAAUGCGUAGAGUAUCAAGUGGAACACCAGUGGCGAAGGCGAGUCCCUAGACAAACUCCUGACACUGAGGCACGAAAGCCUAGGGGAGCAAACAGG